rnacentral:rRNA from 1 species
CAGUAGCCACGGUAAAACAGAGGCCUCAAGCGUUGUUCGGAUUCAUUGGGCGUAAAGGGAGCGUAGGCGGUCGGGUAAGUUGGAUGUGAAAUCCUGGGGCUCAACCUCAGAACUGCAUUCAGUACUGCUUGGCUAGAGUAUUGGAGAGGUGAGUGGAAUUCACGGUGUAGCAGUGAAAUGCGUAGAUAUCGUGAGGAAGACCAGCGGCGAAGGCGGCUCACUGAACAAUUACUGACGCUGAUGCUCGAAGGCCAGGGGAGCAAACGGGAUUAGAGACCCCGGUAGUCCCUGUCUCUUAUAC